rnacentral:rRNA from 1 species
ACUCCUACGGGAGGCAGCAGUGGGGAAUAUUGCACAAUGGGGGAAACCCUGAUGCAGCCAUGCCGCGUGUGUGAAGAAGGCCUUCGGGUUGUAAAGCACUUUCAGUAGGGAGGAAGGUAGUGUAGUUAACACCUGCAUUAUUUGUACGUUACCUACAGAAGAAGCGCCGGCUAACUCCGUGCCAGCAGCCGCGGUAAUACGGAGGGUGCGAGCGUUAAUCGGAAUUACUGGGCGUAAAGCGCAUGCAGGCGGCCUGUUAAGUCAGAUGUGAAAGCCCGGGGCUUAACCUCGGAAUUGCAUUUGAAACUGGCAGGCUAGAGUCUUGUAGAGGGGUUAGAAUUUCAGGUGUAGCGGUGAAAUGCGUAGAGGAUCUAG